rnacentral:tRNA from 2 species
GGACGAUUAGCUCAGCGGGAGAGCGCUUCCCUGACACGGAAGAGGUCACUGGUUCAAUCCCAGUAUCGCGCACCA